rnacentral:rRNA from 1 species
UGGGGAAUAUUGGACAAUGGGCGAAAGCCUGAUCCAGCAAUGCCGCGUGAGUGAUGAAGGCCUUAGGGUUGUAAAGCUCUUUUACCCGGGAUGAUAAUGACAGUACCGGGAGAAUAAGCCACGGCUAACUACGUGCCAGCAGCCGCGGUAAUACGUAGGUGGCAAGCGUUGUCCGGAUUUACUGGGCGUAAAGGGCGUGCAGGCGGUUUGUUAAGUCUAGGGUGAAAGCUCCCGGCUCAACUGGGAGAGGUCCUUGGAUACUGGCAGACUUGAGGAGGGUAGAGGAGAGUGGAAUUCCCGGUGUAGUGGUGAUAUGCGUAGAUAUCGGGAGGAACACCAGUGGCGAAGGCGGCUCUCUGGGCCCUACCUGACGCUGAGACGCGAAAGCGUGGGGAGCGAU